rnacentral:lncRNA from 1 species
UAUGUAUUAUCAUCAAAUACAACUUACAUUUCAAUAUUAUGAAUGAACACGAAUGCGGCCACUUUCAUUUCAGACGGAAACCGUCUAAAAUUUAACUAAAAUGCUACAAUUGUGAAGAUUUCAGUAAUUUAGCAUGACUUAAUGAUGCUAGUACCCGAUAUAUGUGCAUUGUUUUGUCAAAAACAGCCCAUAUUUAUGUAGCAGAAGCAUUCUACUUUGCAAUAAAUAUCUAAACGAUUACAUUUUCACAAUUUUCUAAAACUGCUAUAUUUUGAGGACAAAAAGGGGUCUUACUGAACCUACUCCUUUCUA